UUCUAUGAUGAAUUUCAAAAUAAAGUUCUCUUAUUUGCCCAAUGAAAAAGAAAGCAGAAAUUUUACUUUCUGAAUUGAAAGAAAACUAAAUGUAAAAUAUGCUGACAUCAUCUGAAUUCCUACAACUCACUUCUCAAGUUUGCUAUUUUUCAGGCAAGUGGUCAUUAUAUUUCACUCACAAAUUUCAGAAGCAUUUUCAAAAUUUGAUAUUAGCACUCCUCAAGCACAGAAUAGGUUAUAUCGAGAUGUCAAACAUAUUCUCCAAUGCAUACGGUCAUUGCCAUUGGGUGAUUUGAGUAAAUCUGAUACCCCAAACUGGGGUCAGCUGGAUGAAUUCUUGGUGAAAAGAUUUGGAAAUGAUGCUGUUCAGUAAACUAUAUUGUAAAGUAGCAACUCAAUUGCUUCCGUGUGAAGGCUAACAUACUGUGGAAGAUAUGGGGAUGAUUUAAACCUUCUUCACUCUGCAUUUUUGUGUAACACUAAAUUGAGGCCUUUGGUUGGUCUAUGGGUAUACAAGGUAAUGUAUCAUUUCUGAGCAUUGUGCAGCCGUGGUUGGUCAUUUAACAAGUUUUGUAGCAGUCGAUGUUGAUAUUCAGAAUUCUUGGUUUGUCUCCUUAAUUGUAAUGUUAAGUUGAAAUAGAUAUGAUUUAGUGAAUGAAUUAAGUUUUUCCCUCACCCCCAAUCUUUCCCGUCGCUUCUUCACCCAUGGAUAUGUACACAAUUCCAGAAAUCUAUAGCGAUAUUACCAAUUUGUGUCCUUUA